CACGUAGGGUGCGAGCGUUGUCCGGAAUUAUUGGGCGUAAAGAGCUCGUAGGCGGUGUGUCGCGUCGGCCGUGAAAACCUGCAGCUUAACUGUGGGCUUGCGGUCGAUACGGGCAUCACUGGAGUUCGGCAGGGGAGACUGGAAUUCCUGGUGUAGCGGUGAAAUGCGCAGAUAUCAGGAGGAACACCGGUGGCGAAGGCGGGUCACUGGUCCGAUACUGACGCUGAGGUGCGAAAGCGUGGGGAGCAAACAGG
rnacentral:rRNA from 1 species